rnacentral:rRNA from 1 species
CUCCCAAACCCAUUGCAAACCUACCAAAGUUGCUUCGGCGGGCUAAAUCGCCCCGGGCGCCCCAGCGCGGCCCGGGCCAAGGCGACCGCCGGAGGCCCCAAACCCUGAAUUCACAGUGGACUUCUGAGUGGCAUAAGCAAAUAAAUCAAAACUUUCAGCAACGGAUCUCUUGGUUCUGGCAUCGAUGAAGAACGCAGCAAAAUGCGAUAAGUAAUGUGAAUUGCAGAAUUCAGUGAAUCAUCGAAUCUUUGAACGCACAUUGCGCCCGCCAGUAUUCUGGCGGGCAUGCCUGUCUGAGCGUCAUUUCAACCCUCAGGACCCCGUUUCGCGGGACCUGGCGUUGGGGAUCAGCCCGGAGCCCUCGCGGCCGGCGGCUGGCCCCUAAAUCUAGUGGCGGUCCUCCCGACGACCUCCUCUGCGCAGUAGUUAACUCGCCUCGCAGCUGGAAAGCGGGACGGCCACGCCGUAAAACCCCCAACUCACGCAAGGUUGACCUCAGAUCAGGUAGGAAUACCCGCUGAACUUAAGCAUAUCAAUAAGCGGAGGAAAAGAAACCAACAGGGAUUGCCCUAGUAACGGCGAGUGAAGCGGCAACAGCUCAAAUUUGAAAUCUGGCCUCACGGUCCGAGUUGUAAUUUGUAGAGGAUGCUUCUGGCGACGUGCCUUCCGAGUUCCCUGGAACGGGACGCCAUAGAGGGUGAGAGCCCCGUCCGGUCGUGCACCUAGCCUCUGUGAAGCUCCUUCGACGAGUCGAGUAGUUUGGGAAUGCUGCUCUAAAUGGGAGGUAUACGUCUUCUAAAGCUAAAUACCGGCCAGAGACCGAUAGCGCACAAGUAGAGUGAUCGAAAGAUGAAAAGCACUUUGAAAAGAGGGUUAAAUAGUACGUGAAAUUGCUGAAAGGGAAGCGCUUAUGACCAGACUUGGGCUCGGUGAAUCAUCCGGCGUUCUCGCCGGUGCACUUUGCCGUCCCAGGCCAGCAUCAGUUCGCGCCGGGGGAUAAAGGUUGUGGGAAUGUAGCUCCUCC